rnacentral:lncRNA from 1 species
UUAUAUAUUAGCCUGCAUUCAUUAUUUUAUUAAUAGGGGUACAUUUGUAAUCCUGUUGAAAUAGACCCUGGAGGAAGAGUGCUGAGAAUGAGGAAGUGGGGCCAAAUCUGGAGGCCUUGAAAGCCUGAAGGUUUGUUCAUCUACGAUCAGUGUGGAGGGGCGUAUUUAAGAGUUUGAAAAACAUAAUUGUGUUUAUAAACGUCACUCCAACUAUAGAGACUGGAGGCAUAACACAGGAGGCAGGAGACAAGUCAGAGAUCUGAAUCCACAGUCCAGGAAAAAGAUGAUCACAGGCUCUACUAGGAACUGAAUGAUAAAAAUAAAUAUAUGCAAGAGAUAUUCCAGAAGCAAAGCUAAAUAUAUUUGAUGACUGUUCAAAUGUUGGUGGUGAAGGAGGAGAAGACCAGUGCACCUCACAUAGCUGUGCAGGUUGUACACUGAGCAACCCAGGAGUGCCAUGGUCAUCACGUCUACAUGGAAGUCUCGUGAAGAAGUUGUACAAAGUGGCAGAACCUGAAAGCCCAAUGAUGAAAGAAUGUGUCCAGACUUCUAUGUUGGGCAAAUGGCAAUAAUUGAUUUUAUUUACUGUAAGUUAGAAGGAAAUCAGGGCUUACUAUAUAGGUGAAGAGUGUGAGCAGCGGUAACGAAAGGAAAUGAUGAGGUGAGUACCAAACAGUUUGAGUUUGAAUGGAGAUGAGAAGAGAGAAAUUGAUAUGUAUCUGUCUGGAUAUUGGCCUGACAAUGCACAUUUGAGAAACCUCAGUGUUCAGGUGAUGAUUAAAGCAAGACAGUUCCCUGAGAUUAGACAAUAACAGUGUUUGGGGACUGAAGAAACUUUGAAAUUUCAAAACCUUUGGAAUGUGCCAAUUAUCAGUGAUGGAGAAGCAAAAGAUGGAGAUGUGGAGGAGGCACCCGAGAGACCAGGAAGGGAGGCACAGGGUCCGGGAAGAGAGCGAGAAAGGGGCAAAGUAGCUGGUGAUGAAAAAGUGACAGUGUCCACAGGGCCUGUGACACAUGGGUGGCCAUGAUUAGAGUGAUAUCCCAUUGGGAGGAGGGGCAGAAUCCAGAUUAUAAUGAUUUGAGGAUGGAAUUGAAAAUGCAGAAAUAGAGGCAGGAGCUGCAGACAGCUUUUUUAUCCAGUUUAGCUGUGGACAUGAGGGCAAGAACAGUAGCAGAGGGAAAGUUAAAGGGAGUAUUGAAAAUACAAAGGAGAAUAUUUUUUAGAAAGUUAAGCAAGCAAAGUUGAAGCAAUUAGCUCCCGUAGAAGUAGGUACAUGCCAUUUAUUGUAAUACAAGAGUGUGCUAUCCCAAAUACUCAUACAU